rnacentral:lncRNA from 1 species
CUGAGAUUUAACUUUACAACAGAUGGAUACUGGAGGACAUAGUCAAACCAUAGCACUUUCCUAAGAGAUGCGCAUUCCAGGCCAUCUGGCUAGCAAGGCAGGCAAGCAGAUCUCUCUGCCCAAGGACAUAAAGAACCUUAGACAAAUAUACGGCCAUUGGAAGUGAAGUACAACAAAGGGGAAAGCCCUAGAUUACAAAUGGGGACUGCUACAUUCAUCAUGUGUACUGGAAGCUACAUGAGCCAAAAGUUAUUUCUGGGAGAUAAUCACAGCCUGACACUAAAGAAUUGUGUAUCUUCUGGCAAUAGCUCCCUUUUCCAGGUAUUUUUGGAUUUUUCCAAGAAUUUAAAUGUAUUUCACAGGUUAAAUCAAAAUGGUAGGCUUUU